rnacentral:rRNA from 1 species
AAUAGAUACCCAGGUAGUCCUAGCCGUAAACGAUGAGCACUGGGUUGAAGGGUCCUCCAUAGCCUUUCAGCCGUAGCGAAAGUGUUAAGUGCUCCGCCUGGGGAGUAUGGUCGCAAGGCUGAAACUCAAAGAAAUUGACGGGGGCUCACACAAGCGGUGGAGGAUGUGGCUUAAUUCGAGGCUACGCGAAGAACCUUAUCCUAGUCUUGACAUGCACGGAUUAACUCCCUGAAAGGGGAGCCACGCCUUCGGGUGGAACGUGCACAGGUGCUGCAUGGCUGUCGUCAGCUCGUGCUGUGAAGUGUCGGGUUAAGUCCCUUAACGAGCGAAACCCUUGUCGCUAGUUGCCAGCGAGUCAUGUCGGGGACUCUAGCGAGACCGCCGGUGUUAAACCGGAGGAAGGUGGGGAUGACGUCAAGUCCUCAUGGCCCUUAUGACUAGGGCUGCACACGUCCUACAAUGGCAUGCACAAAGGGACGCAAAGUCGCGAGACCAAGCAAAUCCCAAAAAACAUGCCCCAGUUCGGAUUGC